rnacentral:sRNA from 1 species
CGGGCAGCACUUUGCGUUAAUGUGACCGUUGCGUUUUUGGAAAAACAAAACUAUUGUAUGUGGCGGGAAAUACAUGCGGCACAAAUGGCAAGCGAUGACAGCAGUCUGCAAAGUGAUUGGCUGCACUAAAUUGUGGACAGUGUGACCGUUUGUCUACUUAAAAUAUUUGCAGUAUAUUUUGGCCGAUAGAAAAAUAAUCGAUAAGAAAAUUGAAUACCAAAUUUAAAAUAGGUACAUCAGUUGAGAUUUAAAAAAAAAAAUGACCGAAACGAAUAAUGAAUAAUGCGAGAUUGAUUGAUCAGUGAUCAGUGAUUAUUCAAUUUGCGAAGACUAAAAAAACAAAAUGGCAUUCUCAUUUACCGAAAGUGAUGUUCAUUUACCCGGAAUAAGAGAUUAGAGCUAUGGGGGGGUUAUAUGAAAUAAUUUAUUAUGCAAGAAUUAGUCUAGAAGGCGCGCUACUUAAAUGCAAAUUCUAACUAAACUCGAAUCCUCUCCAGCUAAACUAUUUACAAGCUGCCUAGUUUCGAAUUUAGUACAGUGAAAACUCUCUUGAAAAGACUUUUCUU